UUUGAUGUUCCUUCAGUCAUCCCCUAAAUCGAACGAUAUUUUCUACUAUGCCGUGUUUUGGUUUCUCAGAAUAUCAUCAAGUAUUUUUGUACGAGCUAUUUUUUUUUUUGUUUCUCUCUUCGGCACUAACCUAAGUG